UGGGGAAUUUUGGACAAUGGGCGAAAGCCUGAUCCAGCAAUGCCGCGUGUGUGAAGAAGGCCUUCGGGUUGUAAAGCACUUUUGUCCGGAAAGAAAUGGCUCUGGUUAAUACCUGGGGUCGAUGACGGUCGGCAGGAAUGAAUGAACGGACCGCUAACUACGUGCCAGCAGCCGCGGUAAUACGUAGGGUCCAAGCGUUAAUCGGAAUUACUGGGCGUAAAGCGUGCGCAGGCGGUUGUGCAAGACCGAUGUGAAAUCCCCGAGCUUAACUUGGGAAUUGCAUUGGUGACUGCACGGCUAGAGUGUGUCAGAGGGGGGUAGAAUUCCACGUGUAGCAGUGAAAUGCGUAGAGAUGUGGAGGAAUACCGAUGGCGAAGGCAGCCCCCUGGGAUAACACUGACGCUCAUGCACGAAAGCGUGGGGAGCAAACAGGAUUAGAUACCCUGGUAGUCCACGCCCUAAACGAUGUCAACUAGUUGUUGGGGAUUCAUUUCCUUAGUAACGUAGCUAACGCGUGAAGUUGACCGCCUGGGGAGUACGGUCGCAAGAUUAAAA
rnacentral:rRNA from 1 species